rnacentral:rRNA from 1 species
UACGUAGGGUGCAAGCGUUAAUCGGAAUUACUGGGCGUAAAGCGUGCGCAGGCGGUUGUGCAAGACAGAUGUGAAAUCCCCGGGCUCAACCUGGGAAUUGCAUUUGUGACUGCACGGCUAGAGUGUGUCAGAGGGGGGUAGAAUUCCACGUGUAGCAGUGAAAUGCGUAGAGAUGUGGAGGAAUACCGAUGGCGAAGGCAGCCCCCUGGGAUAACACUGGCGCUCAUGCACGAAAGCGUGGGGAGCAAACAGG